rnacentral:rRNA from 1 species
CUGGCUCAGGAUGAACGCUAGCGACAGGCUUAACACAUGCAAGUCGAGGGGCAGCAUGGGAGGUGGCAACACCACCCGAUGGCGACCGGCGCACUGGUGAGUAACACGUAUGCAACCUGCCCCCUACAGGGGAAUAACCCAGAGAAAUUUGGCCUAAUGCCCCGUAGUCCCGGACUCCGCAUGGUGUCCGGGGGGAAAGCUCCGGGCGGUAGGGGAUGGGCAUGCGGCGCAUUAGCUUGUUGGCGGGGUGACGGCCCACCAAGGCGACGAUGCGUAGGGGUUCUGAGAGGAAGGUCCCCCACACUGGUACUGAGACACGGACCAGACUCCUACGGGAGGCAGCAGUGAGGAAUAUUGGUCAAUGGGCGCAGGCCUGAACCAGCCAAAAGUCGCGUGCGGGACGACGGCCCUACGGGUUGUAAACCGUCUUUAGGCCGGGGAGUAACGUGCGGCACGCGUGCCGUAUUGAGAGUACCCGGAGAAUAAGCAUCGGCUAACUCCGUGCCAGCCGCCGC